GACGGGCGAUGCAAGCGCUAUCCGGAAUCAUUGGGCGUAAAGCGUCUGUAGGUGGUGAUGCAAGUCACUGGUGCAAAACUCUGGCUCAACCGGAGGAAAGCCAGUGAAACUGCAUGACUAGAGUGUGGGAGAGGUAGAAGGAAUUCCCUGAGUAGCGGUGAAAUGCGUAGAUACAGGGAAGAACACCGGAGGCGAAAGCGUUCUACUGGAACACAACUGACACUGAGAGACGAAAGCUAGGGGAGCGAAUGGG
rnacentral:rRNA from 1 species